GACGUAGGGGGCGAGCGUUGUCCGGAUUUACUGGGCGUAAAGAGCGCGCAGGCGGUCGUUCAAGUCGAGUGUGAAAGCCCCCGGCUCAACUGGGGAGGGUCAUUCGAUACUGAUCGACUCGAAGGCAGGAGAGGGAAGUGGAAUUCCCGGUGUAGUGGUGAAAUGCGUAGAUAUCGGGAGGAACACCGGUGGCGAAGGCGGGUCUCUGGGCCGAUACUGACGCUGAGGAGCGAAAGCGUGGGGAGCGAACAGG
rnacentral:rRNA from 1 species